UACGGAGGAUGCGAGCGUUAUCCGGAUUUAUUGGGUUUAAAGGGUGCGUAGGCGGGCUUUUAAGUCAGCGGUAAAAAUUCGGGGCUCAACCCCGUCCGGCCGUUGAAACUGGGGGCCUUGAGUGGGCGAGAAGAAGGCGGAAUGCGUGGUGUAGCGGUGAAAUGCAUAGAUAUCACGCAGAACUCCGAUUGCGAAGGCAGCGCACCGGCGCCCUACUGACGCUCAGGCACGAAAGCGUGGGUAUCGAACAGG
rnacentral:rRNA from 1 species